rnacentral:lncRNA from 10 species
GCAGAUUGGGUUUUUCUGGUACCUCUACCUGGAAGGAGAUGAGAGGGCAGAUCUUUCAACAUAAUAAUUCCCCAAAGAUCUACAAGAACCUAUUCAUAUUAUUAAGAUUAACCCUGUGAAGUGGGCAUUAUAAUGAUCCACAAUUUCCAUGAGGGAGUUGAAGCCCAAUGGAGUUGAGCAACUUGCUGAAGGUCACACAGCUCGUAAGUCACAGAGCCAAGAUUCAAACCCAGACACUCAACUCCAGGAUCCACGUCUCUAUCUUUUUAAAGCCCAGUGACUCCACAAACCAGCUCAAAGCCACUCCGCUGGAUGAUGCCUAAGAUACCCUUCAGUCUUCAAGUGUGUCAGCCUAUGAGUAAUAGUCUGGUGUGUUGCUUGUUUAUUUCAGCAUAGUAGACAUCCUCAAUCGAAAUCCCACUGUCCAGCCUCCAGCACUCCAUGCAUGGGUGCAAGUGAGAGUGGUGGUAGGAAGAGCGAUGGAGAGGGCAUGUCUUCUGCAGAUCCUCGAUAAGUCUAAGUCCAGGCAGCUCACUCCAGUCCACUUCAACUAAAACCCAUGGACUCUUAUUUCAGGCUUUUGACUCUACUCCUACACCAUAAUCUCAGGAGGAGUAUAUUUUUCUAACCUCAACUCACAUAUUCACGGGGAAUAUGGGAGAGAAUUGUAGUAGUAAAGGUUAUCCUGGAUAUGGAGUGUCCCCAGAAUCCUGAUCACCCAACCUAUAGCCCUGUGCUGUCCAAUAUGGUGGCCACAUGUGGCUACUGAGCACUCAAAAUAUAUGGUGAGGCCAAACUGAGAUAUGCUGUAAGUGUAAAAUACACAACAGAUUUUGAUGACUUAGGAUGAAACUUAUAUGAUGUACUUGGAUCAGUCAAACUCAUAGAGACAAACUAGAAGAGCAGUUACUAGGGGCUGAAGGGAGGAUGGAAUGAGGAAUUAUUUUUUAAUGGGUACAGAGUUUCAGUUUUGAAAGAUAAAAAAGUUCUGGAGAUAAAUAGUGCAAGCAAUGUGAAUCUACUUAAUACCACUGAAUUAUACACUAAAAAAUGGUUGA